rnacentral:rRNA from 1 species
AAGUGGCGCACGGGUGAGUAACACGUGAAUGAUCUACCUCCGAGUGGGGAAUAACUUCGAAACCGAGGCUAAUACCGCAUAACACUUACGAGUCAAAGCAGCAAUGCGCUUGGAGAAGUUCGCGGCAGAUUAGUUAGUUGGCGGGGUAAUGGCCCACCAAGACGAUGAUCUGUACGGCUGAGAGGGCGCACGGACACACUGGAACUGAAACACGGUCCAGACUCAUACGGGACAGCAGUGGGGAAUUUUGCGCAAUGGGGGAAACCCUGACGCAGCAACGCCGCGUGGAGAGAAAUAUCUUGGUAUGUAAACUCCUUUCGAUCGGGACGAUUAUGACGGUACCGAGAGGAAGCCCCGGCUAACUUCGUGCCAGCAGCCGCGGUAAUACGAGGGGGGCAAGCGUUGUGGAAUUAUUGGGCGUAAAGGGCGCGUAGGCGGUUUGACAAGUUUGGUGUGAAAUCUAUGCUCAACCCAUAGCCUGCAUCGAAAACUGUCGGGCUUGAGUAUGGGAGAGGUGAGUGGUUUCCGGUGUAGCGGUGAAAUGCGUAGAUAUCGGAAGGAACACCUGAGGCGAAAGCGGCACUGGACCAUAACUGACGCUGAGGCGCGAAAGCUAGGGGAGCAAACAGGAUUAGAUACUGGUAGUCCUAGCCCUAAACGAUGAUUGCUUGAUGUAGCGGGUACCCAAUCCUGCUG